rnacentral:lncRNA from 1 species
UGCUCUGUGAACUGAAGACAAGGACGAGAUUCAGAGAAACAGAGAGGUUGCAUCCAUUUCUCAGGGCCCAGACGGUGACACUAAGGAUGAAGACCUAGCUCUGUUAUCCUUCAGGCUUUAUACCCUUCCUGUACUGGUUCCAAUCCAUAGCAAGAAACCACCCUUGAACAGCUGAGCCGUGAGAAGCCAGAAAGCCUGAUGUGGUCCACCCCUUUCCCUGGAAUCACUCCUUUCCAUGUGGGCUGAAUGCCCACGUGCAGCUGUCUGAUCUCAGGAUUUCUAUCAUCCAGAGUAAGUUCAAAAUGAAAGCCAGGGACGGGGAGGCUACCAUUCAAGCCAUAACGGAAACCACUGUUGUGUGUGCUCAGUUCAAAUCGUUUCCGCAGAUUCUCUGGAAGCUCCAGCGGGGUUGGCCCAGCUCCUGGCUUCCUCUCCUGGCAACAGCCUCAGGUCUUUUUGAUGAAUUGAAUGAGAAGUGGAGCCCUCAGGUCCAGUCCUGAUCCUGCAGUGCUCAUGAAGCUUACACAGAACUCAUGUGACCACGAAGCCAAGGUGGCCGAGAGAAGGCAGCUUCCUGGAAUCUCAGCCUUCCACCAGGCCAGGAGCCAGUCUGCUGCUUCUGUCUGCCUGUACCAAGCAUCUCCCUCAGAGGGAGGAGCCAUGGCCCCAGAAGAUGCUAAGCACUAAAGGAGGCCAUAUGCUUCUACCUUACCAGG